UACAGAGGUCUCAAGCGUUGUUCGGAUUCAUUGGGCGUAAAGGGUGCGUAGGCGGAUUCUCAAGUCCGGGGUGAAAUCCCACAGCUCAACUGUGGAACUGCCUCGGAUACUGGGAGUCUCGAGGGUGGCAGGGGUAUGCGGAACUAUCGGUGGAGCGGUGAAAUGCGUUGAUAUCGAUAGGAACUCCGGUGGCGAAGGCGGCAUACUGGUCCACUUCUGACGCUGAGGAGCGAAAGCGUGGGGAGCGAACAGG
rnacentral:rRNA from 1 species